rnacentral:rRNA from 1 species
GAGUUUGAUCAUGGCUCAGAACGAACGCUGGCGGCAGGCCUAACACAUGCAAGUCGAGCGCACCCUUCGGGGCGAGCGGCGGACGGGUUAGUAACGCGUGGGAAUGUACCCUUUUCUACGGAAUAGCCAUUGGAAACGAUGAGUAAUACCGUAUACGCCCUUUGGGGGAAAGAUUUAUCGGAGAAGGAUCAGCCCGCGUUAGAUUAGAUAGUUGGUGGGGUAAUGGCCUACCAAGUCUACGAUCUAUAGCUGGUUUUAGAGGAUGAUCAGCAACACUGGGACUGAGACACGGCCCAGACUCCUACGGGAGGCAGCAGUGGGGAAUCUUAGACAAUGGGCGCAAGCCUGAUCCAGCCAUACCGCGUGUGUGAAGAAGGCCUUCGGGUUGUAAAGCACUUUAAGCAGGGAGAAAAAGUUAUAAGUUAAUACCUUAUAACCCUGAUGUUACCUGCAGAAUAAGCACCGGCUAAUUCCGUGCCAGCAGCCGCGGUAAUACGGAAGGUGCAAGCGUUAAUCGGAAUUACUGGGCGUAAAGCGCGCGUAGGUGGUUUGUUAAGUUGGAUGUGAAAGCCCUGGGCUCAACCUAGGAACUGCAUCCAAAACUAACUCACUAGAGUACGAUAGAGGGAGGUAGAAUUCAUAGUGUAGCGGUGGAAUGCGUAGAUAUUAUGAAGAAUACCAGUGGCGAAGGCGGCCUCCUGGAUCUGUACUGACACUGAGGUGCGAAAGCGUGGGUAGCGAACAGGAUUAGAUACCCUGGUAGUCCACGCCGUAAACGAUGACAACUAGCUGUUGGGAGACUAUGUCUUUCAGUGGCGCAGCUAACGCUUUAAGUUGUCCGCCUGGGGAGUACGGCCGCAAGGCUAAAACUCAAAUGAAUUGACGGGGACCCGCACAAGCGGUGGAGCAUGUGGUUUAAUUCGAUGCAACGCGAAAAACCUUACCUACUCUUGACAUACUUGGAGGCUCUUGUAAUGAGAGUGUGCCUUUUGGAACCAAGAUACAGGUGCUGCAUGGCUGUCGUCAGCUCGUGUCGUGAGAUGUUCCGUUAAGUCGGAUAACGAGCGCAACCCUUACCCUUAUUUGCCAGCGAUUCGGUCGGGAACUAUAAGGGGACUGCCGGUGAUAAACCGGAGGAAGGUGAGGACGACGUCAAGUCAUCAUGGCCCUUACGAGUAGGGCUACACACGUGCUACAAUGGGAGAUACAGACGGACGCUAAGCCGCGAGGGGGAGCCAAUCCGAGAAAACUUGUCGUAGUCCGGAUCGAAGUCUGCAACUCGACUUCGUGAAGUCGGAAUCGCUAGUAAUCGCGAAUCAGAAUGUCGCGGUGAAUACGUUCCCGGGCCUUGUACACACCGCCCGUCACACCAUGGGAGUGGGUUGCUCCAGAAGUAAUUAGUCUAACCUUCGGGAGGGCGAUUACCACGGAGUGACUCAUGACUGGGGUGAAGUCGUAACAAGGUAACC